GAGAGCUUCAUUUUCUUUUGAAAAAAAAAGAAAUUUUCAUAGGUCUGUGCAUCUCAUUGAAGAUGAAAGGAAAAACCGUAGAAAAUCUGUGUAUGUGAAGAAGUCAACAGGCUGAAUUCGUUCGUUGUGACCUAGAACUUUAACGGACUUUGAGGAGAGCAAGAAGGAACAGAAAAGUUGAGUUUGACGCCACGGGAGACCAAGGGAUGUUGUUAAACCAUCAGAGAUUAUUUUUAACCAGUUAUCCCGACAACCCAGACGCGCAUUACUGAAGCCCCAAUUAAUGCCAAUAAUUUUAAGAUAAAACCGAGUUUAAUUCAUAUAGCAUGGGACCUUGCAUCUAGAGGAACUCCACAUGAAUAUCCACAUAAGCAUAUCCGCACUUUCCUGGAAAUUAGCGGGACAGUAAAAAUAAAUGGAAUCUUUUCUGAUGCCAUUAGACUGAGAUUGUUUCCUUUUCCUGUGUAGGACAAGGCUAAGGAUUGGUUGGAGUCACUUGCAACAGGAAGCAUAACAACAUGGGAUGAGUUGGCCCAAGCCUUUCUGAAAAAAUUCUUCCUUCCUGCGAAAAUAAGCAGACUGAGAAUAGAAAUUGAUACAUUCAGACAAAGAGAGGAUGGACAGUUAUUCAAGGCAUGGGAGCACUAUAAGAAGUUGCUGCAGAUGUGCCCCCCAACAUGGAUACCCUGACUGGUCACAAAUCCAGUUGUUCUACAAUGGGUUUACUAGUACAACGAAAUCCAUCUUGGAUGUUGCUGUAGGAGACUCAAUUUUCGAAAGACUGCUAAUGUUGCUUAGACAUUAUUGGAGGAUAUGGCUACCACGAGCUACAAUUGGCCCUCAAAACAAUCUUCAUCUAGAGUGGCUAGAAUUUAUGAACUAGACGAGGUAAAUUCUUUAAAGGCGCAGAUGGCUACUUUGACUAGUGCCAUUAAUCUUUCAUCCAUAGGUACUCAACCAUUGAUUGCAUCGAUGGUAGCUUGUAAUGCACUUACAUCAUGGGAGGUACCUAACCCAAAGCAGGCAAAUUAUGUAUGCCAAGCGAACCAAUUUUAAGGAGCCCAUCCGAAUCUUAUCAGAUGAACCAACCCACUCAUUAUCACCUAGGUUUGCACAAUCAUGAGAAUUUUUCAUAUGCUAACAAUAAGAAUGCUUUGCAGGAACCUCCAGGUUUUUUAAAAAAGAAACCAUCUGUGGAGGCUUUGCUUGGAGAUUUCAUAAAGGAGUCAAGGAGUAGAACCAAUUUCUUGGAGAGCACAAUAACGAGUCAUGGGAAGGCUAUCUAGAACCUUGAGGUUCAGAUGCAUUGGAACAAAUGCCAAACUAUGUGAAGUUCAUGAAGGAAAUGUUGUCUUCAAAGAAGAAGUUUGAAAAGUAUAAGAUGGUUAGCUUAAAUAAGGAAUGCAAUGCUAUAUUGCAAAAGAAGCUACCGCAAAAAUUGAAGGAUCCUGAGAGUUUUACAAUUCCCUGCACUAUAAGGAAUCUGACGAUAAAGAAAGCUUUAUGUGAUUUAGGAGCCUCAAUUAAUCUGAUGCCUUUAUCUUUGAAUAGGAAACUAGACAUAGGAGAGGUACAGCCGAGACGAGAAUAUUUUGUGGUCUAGACACGGAAGAAGAUGCUAAAAUUCCUAUCAUCCUUGGAUGGUCAUUCCUAGCCACACACAGAGCUUUGAUUGAUGUUUAUGAUGGUAAGCUUACACUUCGGGUGAACGAUGAAGAGGUAAAUUCAACAUCUUUUAUUCUUUCAAACCCAAUCAGCCUGUAAGUUUGUGCCAAGAAAUCAACGAAGUAGAUGGUAAACAUUCUGAACAAUCUCUUAGUAAAGGAAAGGACAAGGAAAAGGUAAGUUCUCCUGAACAAUCUCCAAAGGAAGGUACAGUAAAUUUUCUCGAUUAUAUUCAUAAGGGAGAUAUUGAACUGGUGGACAAAGGAAGAGAAGAUUAUGCUUUUUCUGAUAACUGUUCUUCGACUACUUUUUUAUGUGAAUGUUAGUGCGGGAGAAAAUUAUAUAUUUCAGAUGUUGUUGUGCAUGGAAUGAUGAAGCAACCUUGAAAGUUGUCUAAAUUAGAGACCUGGUUUAGCUAAAGACAUUAAGCUAAGCGCUUCUUGGGAAACAACCUAAGUGUUUCAGUUUUAUUUCAUUUUUUAUUUGAAUAUUUUAUUUUUUAAGGAUAAAGAGCCACCUCAUGUUUAUUUUCUUUUGAUCCUCAGGUUGGAGAUGAUGCUCAAGUGAUUUCAAGCAUCAGCUCGCCAUACAGAUUCGUGAAUCCCUACUCAUUACCCAGGCUUAUAUCACUCAUCUGUUGUGUGAUUGUUUUAGAUGUUAUGCAUUAGGGACAAUGCAUCUUUUUCAGUUUGGGGUGGGGGUGUAAUUUAUGCUUGAAUCUUGUGCUUUUAUGCAUGCUGUUUUGAUUUGAUUGUUUUAUGCAUGUUAUUGUUGAUUUUGAGGAAAAAUUGAAAAAUUUUGAAAAUUUUGAAAAAGAUUUGAGUUUGGUUAGGAAGAAUGCUGAGAAUGAUUGAAUUGUGUUUUUUGGUUGUUUUCUUUUACUAUGAUGGUUGAUGAGUCACUCAUGAUGUAUGUCAUGCUUUGAAGUAGAAAUUGGAUAACAAAGUCUUGUCUUGAGUGUUCUUUGCUCUGAAUCCCUCUUUGUAUCCUCUGUUAUUUUGAGCACGAACCACUUUAAUUUAGAACCUCUAACUGAACAAAGCAUUAAUUUAAGUCAAUUUGGUUAUCACCUCAAAAGGCUCCACUAGUUAGAGAGUGUCUUGCAUGAUGGGUUGUAAUGUUAGAGUAAGAGGAAAGAAAAGAAUAUUAUUAUUGCCAUUGAAUAAAGAAAAGUAUAUAGAGUGUGCACUCAUGCACUUAAAAGAAAUAUCUUUUUAUUAUUGUAAACUUAUAAUGUGUAUGCAUGGAUGGGGUAAAAAGAGCUGCCUUUGCUGUGAUCAGUUAGGACACUUGAAAAUUGAUUAGGUAUGAUUCCCUAUAGUGGAUGUGUGAAAGCUAGUGUCCCUAGGUAAAAUGAUGCAAGUUUCAUUGAGUGUGGUGAUGCUUGAUGAUUGCUGCUUGAGCUAGAUUAGGGGAAAACCGGAUCAAGUUUAAUUAAAUCUUAAGUCAGUUAUUGAGUUUUGAAUUAAAUGAGGAGUCAAACACACACAAAGGCUAAAAAGUUUUGGCUUUAGAAACUCUCAACGUUUAGGAUGUGUCUGAAUUUUUCUGUGGAUGAGUGUUGUAGAUGUUGAGAAGCUGAUGAAAUCGGAAUAAGAGAAUGCAUGCCUUGAACCUUUUUCAUUUCAGUAUUCAUUAUUUCUCCUACUUUGUGUUUCUUUCUUUUCUUUGCUCGGGACUAGCAAAGUUUUAAGUUUGAGAUGAUAAAACGUAUCUAAAAAGUUCUUUUAUUACCUUCAAAUUUAGAACUAAUAUUGCUAGUUUUGUUUAGUUUGCCGUGGUUUAUUGAGUAAUUUCAGGCAACUAAGCAUCAGGAGAAAUUUGUGCAAAAAUCAUAAAAAACCUAGGGCAAAACUCCAACUUGGAGCAAUUACUGGUUGGCUAUGGAAUUAGGAAGAAACCAAGGACCCAAGAUCAAGAAAAGAGGCAAAUUUGGAAGGAAAUUUGGGGGAGCCAGUGUUGGAAGAACAUUGCAAUGAUGCUCCCUGAUGUUAUAGACCCGAGACCAAUUGGAAACAGGGCAGUAUUGCGACGCUACAAUGUUACGACUUUGACGCACAGCUGGCAUGGCACCAACAUUGCAACGUAGGUUUGCACCGUUUCAACACUGUGAGCAUAUUAUAAAUAACAGCGUUGCGCUGCUAGGUCUGUAGAGGAAAAGAAGAAGAGGAGAAAAAAGUGAGUCGAUUUUGACAGAUUUUACCUAAAUUAUAGUCCGUACAAGAGCCAAGACAGAGCAAUUCUGAUCGUUUUUGGUUGAAGACUUGAGAUUUCAAUUGAGAGUUGAUCUAAGAGCGUUUUUGGAUUGAUUGUGAUAGGAAGACUGAUCGUGAUCGUGCAGUUUUGUUGAAGAAAAAUCCAGUAUUCGUGGCGGGAGUCAAGAAGAUUGUGAUUGGGAUUCGAACCUAUUGAGAGGAGAUCGUUCUUCUUUGUUAAUUUAUUUUUUGCCAUAAUGAUUGUUUGUUUGUUGAUACUGUUAUCAGAAUCAUG